AAAAUAGUUCACUCGUGGACUAUAUAUAAAGGAGUCGACUACGAUCCCACACUAUCGACUUGUUUCUCAACCUCGAUAUGAAGCUGUUAGUCUCUUUGGUUGUGGUGGCGCUGGCUGCUAGUGGCCACGCUGACUAUCUAUCAGAUAAUCCAUAUGCUGCCAGACCAUCCUACACGCCCCCUUCACCAUCUUACGGAGGCGGGUCUCAUGCUAGCUACGGUACAGCAACAGGCUACAGUAAUUUCAACCUAGGAGCUCCUCUUAGCUACGGCGGAGGUUCUUCAGGGGGAGGAAUUGGCUCCGUCGGUGGUCUUGGCUCCGUCGGUGGUUUUGGUGGUGGUGGUGGUGCAGGAGGGAACUACGGUCCUCCCCCGACAGGAUAUGGUCACUAAACUUCAUUCACCUCACGGAUAUGGUAAUGAAAACUCCUCCAGCAUCAAGACUAACUCCAUAACAGUUAAAGUUAGAUAGUAUUUAUUUAAUAUUCUCUGAUACUAUUAAUAUUACGGGCACUAAUAAAAGUUAAAACUAUCAA